AAGUCGUAACAAGGUUUCCGUAGGUGAACCUGCGGAAGGAUCAUUAUCGUAUCUCUGGCGGUGCCGGUGCGCCCUGCUCCGGCCGACAAAGCCGUGCAGCGGGACGCCUGUGCCGCUCAAACUUUGCAUACCCACCGUGAACCUUUACGGCGGAGGGUGCUGGCGAGAGCUUGCAUCCCGAGCCGCAUUUUUACCUAAACUCCAGUUUUUUGAACACAUGUCUUUGGUGGACUCAGCUCCGCCCAAGAAACUAGACAACUUUCAACAACGGAUCUCUUGGCUCUC
rnacentral:misc_RNA from 1 species